UCAGCGAUGGAUAUCUUGGCUCUUGUGACGAUGAAGAACGCAGCAAACUGCGAAAAGCACUGCGAAUUGCAGAACCCCGUGAGUCAGUAGAUUUUCGAACGCACCCUGCGCCUUAGGGCAU
rnacentral:rRNA from 1 species